rnacentral:rRNA from 1 species
UACGGAGGGUGCGAGCGUUGUUCGGAAUUAUUGGGCGUAAAGCGCACGUAGGCGGCCCGUUAAGUCUCAUGGUGAAAGGCCGGGGCUCAACCCCGAGCAAGCCGGGGAUACUGGGGGGCUGGAGACAGGUAGAGGCCAGCGGAAUUCCGGGUGUAGCGGUGGAAUGCGUAGAGAUCCGGAAGAACACCGGAGGCGAAGGCGGCUGGCUGGACCUGAUCUGACGCUGAGGAGCGAAAGCGUGGGGAGCGAACAGG